CGUUAAAGCUCGUAGUUGGAUUUCUGAAUGUGGUUGGUUGUAUUGGUGGCGCUGCCGUCAGUCUCCAUACUACGUUCAAAACAUGUGACGCUUGGGUGUGGUUGAUUAAUUUCGAUCCGCCCUUAAAUCGCUCGUUUACUUUGAGAAAAUUAGAGUGUUCAAAGCAGGCAUUGUGCUUGAAUAUGUUAGCAUGGAAUAAUAGCAUAGGACUUCAUGUUCUAUUUGUUGGUUGUUCGAGAACUAAAGUAAUGAUUGAUAGGGACGGUUGGGGGCAUCCGUAUUCUCAAGCGAGAGGUGAAAUUCUUGGACCUUGGGAAGACGAACAGCUGCGAAAGCGUUUGCCUAGGACGUUCUCUUUAAUCAAGAACGAAAGUUGGGGGAUCGAAGACGAUCAGAUACCGUCGUAGUCUCAACUAUAAACUAUGCCAGCUAGGGAUCGGUGGUACUUCGUCACGAGUCCAUCGGCACCUUACGAGAAAUCAAAGCAUUUGGGUUCCGGGGGGAGUAUGGUCGCAAGGCUGAAACUUAAAGGAAUUGACGGAAGGGCACCACCAGGAGUGGAGCCUGUGGCUUAAUUUGACUCAACACGGGAAAACUUACCAGGUCCGGACAUAGUAAGGAUUGACAGAUUGAUAGCUCUUUC
rnacentral:rRNA from 1 species